GCCUAGCCCUGAUAGUAAUGAAAAUACUUUGAGAAGAAAUUGCGAUUUUUUCCUGACAGAACAAAGCGACUCCCGACGUUUCGGGAUAAGCUCUUGGUAUGUUUUGGAAAAAUACAAUUUAUCAAAAAAGUAUUGUAAUGAAUAGCAGGAAUAUGC
rnacentral:sRNA from 1 species